rnacentral:rRNA from 1 species
UACGAAGGGGGCGAGCGUUGUUCGGAAUUACUGGGCGUAAAGGGCGCGCAGGCGGCCUUUCAAGUCAGAUGUGAAAGCCCCGGGCUCAACCUGGGAAUGGCAUUUGGGACUGGAAGGCUCGAGAUCGGGAGAGGAGGGUGGAAUUCCCAGUGUAGAGGUGAAAUUCGUAGAUAUUGGGAAGAACACCGGCGGCGAAGGCGGCUCUCUGGACCGAUACUGACGCUGAGGCGCGAAAGCGUGGGGAGCAAACAGG